CGAAGGCCUGACGGAGCAAGACCGCGUGGGGGACGAAGGUUUGUGGAUUGUAAACCCCUUUUGAUUGGGAAGAAGUUCUGACGGUACCAAUCGAAUCAGCAUCGGCUAACUCCGUGCCAGCAGCCGCGGUAAUACGGAGGAUGCAAGCGUUAUCCGGAAUUAUUGGGCGUAAAGCGUCCGUAGGUGGUUAUUCAAGUCAGUUGUUAAAGCGUGGGGCUUAACCCCAUAAAGGCAAAUGAAACUGAAUGGCUAGAGUGCGAUAGGGGCAAGGGGAAUUUCCAGUGUAGCGGUGAAAUGCGUAGAUAUUGGAAAGAACACCGGUGGCGAAAGCGCCUUGCUGGGUCUGCACUGACACUGAGGGACGAAAGCU
rnacentral:rRNA from 1 species